rnacentral:rRNA from 1 species
UUACUGGGCGUAAAGCGUGCGCAGGCGGUUUUUUAAGUCAGAUGUGAAAUCCCCGGGCUYAACCUGGGAACUGCAUUUGAAACUGGAUGACUAGAGUGUGUCAGAGGGGGGUAGAAUUCCACGUGUAGCAGUGAAAUGCGUAGAUAUGUGGAGGAAUACCAAUGGCGAAGGCAGCCCCCUGGGUUAAUACUGACGCUCAUGCACGAAAGCGUGGGGAGCAAACAGGAUUAGAUACCCUGGUAGUCCACGCCCUAAACGAUGYYGACUAGKUGUUGGGGGA